rnacentral:rRNA from 1 species
CCAGACUCCUACGGGAGGCAGCAGUCGGGAAUAUUGCGCAAUGGAGGAAACUCUGACGCAGUGACGCCGCGUAUAGGAAGAAGGUUUUCGGAUUGUAAACUAUUGUCGUUAGGGAAGGUAAAAGACUGUACCUAAGGAGGAAGCCCCGGCUAACUAUGUGCCAGCAGCCGCGGUAAUACAUAGGGGGCAAGCGUUGUCCGGAUUUACUGGGUGUAAAGGGCGUGCAGCCGGGCUGACAAGUCAGAUGUGAAAUCCCGCGGCUCAACCGCGGAACUGCAUUUGAAACUGUCAGUCUUGAGUACCGGAGAGGUCAUCGGAAUUCCUUGUGUAGCGGUGAAAUGCGUAGAUAUAAGGAAGAACACCAGUGGCGAAGGCGGAUGACUGGACGGCAACUGACGGUGAGGCGCGAAAGCGUGGGGAGCAAACAGGAUUAGAUACCCGCGUA